rnacentral:lncRNA from 7 species
GCACUACCCUGCUUACAGGGUGGCCUCGGGGUCCGGCGAGCUCCAUUUCCCACUCAGGUGCGGAGAGGUGGCUCUCGCCCUCCGUUACAGGGGGGCCACGCUCCCCAGGCAGCCAAAGGAGCAGCAAGGCAAAAGGCCAACUACAGCAAAGACCCGAGCCCCGCUUACGGGGAGGUCGCCCAGCACAACGCCAGCCUGGUCACCAAAGGCGCCGGCAGCUCUCAACUCAAACGUGACUGUGCCCCUGCUAACGGGACAGGUGCUUUGCCCAGGGAGCCUCUCUCCUUCCCCCCCGCAUCUGCACGCUUCCGCUUCCUCUUCUUGCUUGCUCCUGCCUCCCAGGUCCCCACGCCGCUUCUUCUUCUUCCUUCUGCAGCAGCUCCUGAAACAUCAGCGGGGACACCGUUAGACCUGCAGGGUGGCAAGCCCCCCCACCUGAAGGUAAAGGCAAACACAGCAUCGCUAAGGAACUCGGCACGCAACCACCCAGCCAUGGAAGGCCUUGCAUCCCACCCCCCCCCCCCCCCAAGUCGACCCCGCAAAAACCACUUCGAGCAGCGUUUCUCACCUCACUGACACGCGGCGGACUUCCAGCCAGUGCUGCGGGGGAUCACAGAGGCAGGCAGACUGAUCACACUAGCUGGCAACAGAAAGAGCAGCAGCCAAAGAGUCAGCUUCCCUGCUUACAGGGGACCCCCCAUCCACUGCUUUCAUUGCAAAGAGACGUUUUCUCAUUGUAGUAAUUGUUGUGUUUUAGUUAAUCAUGGCCCCAUCUUCGUUUGUCAUUCCCCAGUUUUUGGCAACGUGGUGAUAGGAUGUUGCAAUGAGACAGCCAACUCAUAACAUCUACUGCCAUUGUCUUGGAAUAAACUACCAGACAUUCACACCUACAUUUUUGUCACUGCAUCCUACCUUCUCCUCCUCUUGAGCUUCAUUAUUGCCUUCAGCUUCGUAAACUCCAAAGCAGUACAUUUGUACAUCUCGCUUUUGAACUUCAGUGUGUCCCUCCUGUCCUGCCCCAUACCCACCACCCCAUUCAUAAUAAAAAAGAAACUAUAUAGCUCGACACUCUCAGUGUCAAAUACUUCUGCUUUAUUACAGCGGCUCGUUGAUAUCUUGUAGCUUCUUCCACGGGGCAGCUAGCCACCCUCGGAGCAUAUACCGGCCGGCCGCCGCGGCCCGCCGCC